UACAGAGGUCCCAAGCGUUGUUCGGAUUCACUGGACGUAAAGGGUGCGUAGGCGGUCGGGUAAGUCUGAUGUGAAAUCUCACAGCUUAACUGUGAAACUGCAUUGGAUACUAUCCGGCUCGAGGAAUGGAGGGGAGACUGGAAUACUUGGUGUAGCAGUGAAAUGCGUAGAUAUCAAGUGGAACACCAGUGGCGAAGGCGAGUCUCUGGACAUUUCCUGACGCUGAGGCACGAAAGCCAGGGGAGCAAACGGG
rnacentral:rRNA from 1 species